rnacentral:rRNA from 1 species
CCUACGGGAGGCAGCAGUGGGGAAUUUUGGACAAUGGGCGCAAGCCUGAUCCAGCCAUUCCGCGUGAGUGAAGAAGGCCUUCGGGUUGUAAAGCUCUUUCGCAAGGGAAGAAAACUUAGUCUCUAACAUAGACUGAGGUUGACGGUACCUUGAUAAGAAGCACCGGCUAACUACGUGCCAGCAGCCGCGGUAAUACGUAGGGUGCGAGCGUUAAUCGGAAUUACUGGGCGUAAAGCGUGCGCAGGCUGUUUUGUAAGUCAGAUGUGAAAUCCCUGAGCUCAACUUAGGAACUGCGUUUGAAACUACAAGACUAGAAUAUGUCAGAGGGGGGUAGAAUUCCACGUGUAGCAGUGAAAUGCGUAGAGAUGUGGAGGAAUACCAAUGGCGAAGGCAGCCCCCUGGGAUAAUAUUGACGCUCAUGCACGAAAGCGUGGGGAGCAAACAGGAUUAGAUACCCUGGUAGUCCACGCCCUAAACGAUGUCUACUAGUUGUUGGUGGAGUAAAAUCCAUGAGUAACGCAGCUAACGCGUGAAGUAGACCGCCUGGGGAGUACGGUCGCAAGAUUAAAACGUCAAAGGAAUUGACGGCUGAGACAGCGACGGACGACGACGAGGGAGGAGG